GUUUUUCUUCCCUUAUCUUAUCAAAUAAAUCAAUUGAUAGGGUCAAGACGAUUCUUUUAGGCUCCAAAGUUCAAAGGUCUGAGUAAUUUUGGGAUAUUUACAAGAAUACCCACAAAAAAAUGGAGAAGGAACUACCUAUUGAUAAGAUCUCAAACAGACGUGUCUCUAUUUUUACACCUGAGUGGGAGAUAUCUGUCGGAGUAAAAACUACUGAUCUAAGCCAACUUAUUCUCAAAGAGUGGAAAAAAAAGAAGCAUGAGCAGUGGCGCAUGAAAAAGGCUGUAGAAGAAUUAAAACCUUCAACAACUCCUCGCAUCAUACGAAUUUGGAAUAAAGUCCAACAAAUUAGGAAAAAGAUUAAUAGUGACCAAACAACUUUUCUAAAUACG